UAAGCGGGAAGCGAGCCCUGAGAUGAGUCUUCCCUGAUACUUUAAGUAUCCUAAAGGGUUGUUCGAGACUAGAACGUUGAUAGGCAGGGUGUGUAAGCGCUGUGAGGCGUUGAGCUAACCUGUACUAAUUGCCCGUGAGGCUUAACCAUACAACACCCAAAGGGUUUUG
rnacentral:rRNA from 1 species